UGAAAGUCACAGCUGGUUGGGUUGUGCUCACCCGAACAUUCUGAGAAGUUCCUGGCUGCAUUAUGGAAUGGUCAGAAUCUUCUCUGUUUGUCGAACGAGUGUUAACCAUUGGAGUAAAAGAUUUGCCAAAAUAAAGAAAUGUAAAAUGCAAAAAGAAAAAAGAAAAGCAAAAAGUUGACGAAUGUACUAAACUGCCAAAAGACAAAUGUAAUAAAGAAUAUAGCCGAAAAGGAAAUUUCCUUUACGACUGUGCAAAAGCUGAAUGUAGAAUUAAAAAAAAAACGAAGGUGAAAACCAAAAUAUGGCCAAGAGGAAAUCCCCUCGUGACCUGAAAUGUAAAAUCUGGAAAACUGAAAAAACCAAAAUAUAAAGCUUCUAAAUCCAAAGGACAGAAGCUAGCUGAAGAAAAAUCAAAAGUUCCUAAAAAGCAAACAGCAGAAUGGAAAUGUAUCUGGUAUAUAAAAACUCCUGCUACUAAGGGAAUAAAUCUACCAAAGUAAAAGAAAACAGAAGAGAAAUGGAACUACAAAUUCAUGUAAGGGAUCGGUGGUAGGUAACAAACAAACAAAAAGGUAAGUAAAGGUAAAAUGAUGUACGUAUCGUAUAGUGCCAGUGUAUGCAUGUCCUAAUACAAAUAUUCAUUUUAAUUCCAGGGUUUCGUGAGUGUAAACGCGAAAACAAAAAAAACGAUGAAACAUGGAAGGUUAGCUACGGUGGACAACACGUGGAAACAUAAAUCUUUGUCUGGCCUUACAGCCCAUGGACUAAGCCACGAAUGCGUACGAAGACGAAGAAGAACGUGUAUCCCGUGAUAAAAAAAGGUUUGACAAGCUGAUAUCCCCACCUAACGGGCAAAAGCUCCCUGAUCAACGUAUUGAGGACCUACCCGGAUUAGAGCUCUGAUCCUAGCGCCUACGGUUCCUCUAAAACGGAACUCACUAAAUUUAAGUUGGGACAGAUAACCCUUCUUGUCUCCCCCAGGUCGUCCGUUUUGGUCCGGAGUCCGGCAUUUACCCUUGCAACCCGGGGAGGUUGCAAGCAUCAGGAGCUCCCACGUUGAUUGGAGUGGCGAUGGUGACUGGGCGUGGCUGAUGACCGACGAUAGGUGUAUUGUAAUUAUUCCUUAUUUUGCUUAUACUUCAUAUAUUUUCCAGACUCUCUAUUUAGGCUAUAAAUCCAAUUCAGUUUGUAGGUUAAGCCUUUUUUUUAUUUGUAGGUUAAGCUCUAUUUAGUUUGUAAGUUAAACUCUAUUUAGUUUGUAAGUUACACUCUAUUUAGUUUGUAAGUAACACUCUAUUUAGUUUGUAAGUUAAACUCUAUUUAGUUUGCAAGUUACACUCUGUUUAGUUGGUAAGUUUUAAUCUCAUAUAGUUUUUAGGUUGUAACUUCCUGAUGCACGUAGUUUUUAGGAUUAAUUCGCAUGUAGUUUUUCAAGAUUAAUUGACACGUAGCUUUUAAGAUUGUUCG